AUACGGAGGGUGCAAGCGUUAUCCGGAUUCAUUGGGUUUAAAGGGUACGUAGGUGGAUAGAUAAGUUAGUGGUGAAAUCCCGAAGCUCAACUUCGGAACUGCCAUUAAAACUGUCUAUCUUGAAUUUGGUUGAAGUGGGCGGAAUAUGACAUGUAGCGGUGAAAUGCAUAGAUAUGUCAUGGAACACCGAUAGUGAAGACAGCUCACUAAGCCAAUAUUGACGCUGAGGUACGAAAGCAUGGGUAGCGAACAGGAUUAGAUACCCUAGUAGUCC
rnacentral:rRNA from 1 species